CCUACGGGAGGCAGCAGUGGGGAAUAUUGCACAAUGGGCGAAAGCCUGAUGCAGCGACGCCGCGUGAGGGAUGACGGCCUUCGGGUUGUAAACCUCUUUCAGCAGGGAAGAAGCGAAAGUGACGGUACCUGCAGAAGAAGCACCGGCUAACUACGUGCCAGCAGCCGCGAUAAUACGUAGGGUGCGAGCGUUGUCCGGAAUUAUUGGGCGUAAAGAGCUUGUAGGCGGUAUGUCGCGUCUGCUGUGAAAAUCCGGGGCUCAACCCCGGACUUGCAGUGGGUACGGGCAGACUAGAGUGUGGUAGGGGAGACUGGAAUUCCUGGUGUAGCGGUGAAAUGCGCAGAUAUCAGGAGGAACACCGAUGGCGAAGGCAGGUCUCUGGGCCACUACUGACGCUGAGAAGCGAAAGCAUGGGGAGCGAACAGGAUUAGAUACCCUGGUAGUCCAUGCCGUAAACGUUGGGCGCUAGGUGUGGGACUCAUUCCACGAGUUCCGUGCCGCAGCUAACGCAUUAAGCGCCCCGCCUGGGGAGUACGGCCGCAAGGCUAAAACUCAAAGGAAUUGACGG
rnacentral:rRNA from 1 species